GCAUGGUAAUGGAUUUAUGGAAGAGUGUUCUCUGUGGGCCUUUCAUACUGUGCCUGUGCCAGAGUGAACUGCAGCUUCCAGCCAUUGACCAGCUUUCUUGUCUGUGCGCUGGGAGCACUGAAGAGGGUUGCACAAUU
rnacentral:snoRNA from 1 species